rnacentral:rRNA from 1 species
UACAGAGACUGCAAGCGUUAUUCGGAUUCACUGGGCGUAAAGGGUGCGCAGGCGGUCGGGUGUGUCAGAUGUGAAAUCCCGAGGCUCAACCUCGGAACUGCGUCUGAAACUACUCGACUAGAGUACUGGAGAGGGAUGCGGAAUUCCAGGUGUAGCGGUGAAAUGCGUAGAUAUCUGGAGGAACACCGGUGGCGAAGGCGGCAUCCUGGACCGAGAUUGACGCUGAGGCGCGAAAGUCAGGGGAGCAAACGGG